AGCAGCCGCGGUAAUUCCAGCUCCAAUAGCGUAUAUUAAAGUUGUUGCAGUUAAAAAGCUCGCAGUUGAAUUUCGGGAUUGGCGCAUCGGUCGUGCCUUACGGGGUAUGAACUGGUGCAGUCAAUUUCUCACCUUCUGGAGAACCGCGAUGUCCUUAAUUGGGUGCCGCGGGGAACCAGGACCUUUACUUUGAAAAAAUUGAGUGUUUAAAGCAGGCAUUUUUGCUUGAAUACAUUAGCAUGGAAUAAUAAAAUAGGACGGCAUGGUUCUAUUUUGUUGGUUUCUAGGACCACCGUAAUGAUUAAUAGGGAUAGUUGGGGGCAUUAGUAUUCAAUUGUCAGAGGUGAAAUUCUUGGAUUUAUUGAAGACUAACUACUGCGAAAGCAUUUGCCAAGGAUGUUUUCAUUAAUCAAGAACGAAAGUUAGGGAUCGAAGACGAUCAGAUACCGUCGUAGUCUUAACCAUAAACUAUGCCGACUAGGAAUCAGACGAUGUUAAUUUUUUAUGUACUUCGUUUGGC
rnacentral:rRNA from 1 species